rnacentral:rRNA from 1 species
UACAGAGGGGGCUAGCGUUAUUCGGAAUUAUUGGGCGUAAAGGGCGCGUAGGCGGCCACGCGUGUCUUUCGUGAAAUCCCUCGGCUUAACUGAGGACGUGCGGAAGAAACUGCGAGGCUUGAGUCCGGGAGAGGGGGGUGGAAUUCCCAGUGUAGCGGUGAAAUGCGUAGAUAUUGGGAGGAACACCGGUGGCGAAGGCGGCCCCCUGGACCGGUACUGACGCUGAGGCGCGAAAGCGUGGGUAGCAAACGGG